rnacentral:rRNA from 1 species
GUGAAUCCGGGCCUACUACGGUCCAAGACUAAAUACUUUUGGUGAUCGAUAGUGAACUAGUACCGUGAGGGAAAGGUGAAAAGAACCCCGUUGAGGGGAGUGAAAUAGCAACUGAAACCAUAUGCUUACAAAGAGCCGGAGUCUGAACGUCGCAAGACGUUACGGAUGACGGUGUGCCUAUUGCAGAAUGAUCCAACGAGUUUAAGUAUGCAGCUUAGCCUAAGCUUUAAGGAGCGGAGGCACAGCGAAAGCGAGUGAUAACAUCACGAAUAUGUUGUAUGCUUAAGACCCGAAGCCGGGUGAGCUAACCAUGACCAGGGUGAAAGUCACCGAAAGGUGACCGGAGGCCCGAACCGUUUGAUUGCGCAAUAUCAUCGGAUGAGUUGUGGUUUGGAGUGAAAAGCUUAUCGAACCCGGUAAUAGCUGGUUCUCCCCGAAAUGCCUUUAGGGGCAGCGUUCGUUAGAAGUAACAGGGGUAGAGCUCUGGAUGGUUUUCCGUGCCCUUUUGGGUAGGUUUACCAACCAAACUACGAAUACUGUUAUGAAUUGACGGGCAGUGAGUCCGUGAGGGCGAAGCUUCACGGUCGCAACGGGAACAGCCGCAGAUCUCAGUUUAAGGUCCCUAAAUUCACACUAAGUGUUAAAGGAAGUAUUUUGCCUUAUACAGGUAGGAUGUUGGCUUAGAAGCAGCCAUCAUUUAAAAAGUGCGUAACAGCUUACUACUCGAUAUUCCACUUCGGUGGAGUGAGGCAAGAUGCGUCGAAGAUGUAACGGGGCUAAGUGUGGUACCGAAAACGAGGGUUAUCGAUGCUCCGCAUCGGGAAUGUCUAAUUCCUAAUUGACCUAAUAUCUAAUCAAUGACCAAUGCUGGAAUAAUUAAAUGUCUAAGUUUUAGCCAUUUAAAUUUUGGGACUUGGAAAUUAUUUAGAAAUUAGAAAUUAGAAAUUGGUAAUUCCGGUGCGAAGCACCGGUAGCGGUAGGGGAGCGCUUCAAGUGCUGCGAAGCUAAUGGCGUGAGCCAUGGUGGAGCGCUUGGAGGUGAAAAUGUUGGAAUGAGUAACCGCAAGUCCGGUGAGAGCCCGGACCGCCGAAAGCCCAAGGUUUCCUCCGCAAUGGUGAUCAUCGGAGGGUUAGGCGUGCCUAAGUGUAACCGUGCUUACGAGCGCGGGAACAUGAUGGACAGCCGGUUAAUAAUCCGGCCCUUCUAUAAGAAAUAUGUUUAUGGAGUGACGGAAGACAUAAGGUUGAGCGUGUUAUUGGAUUUGCGUUCUUGAGCUUAAGAAUUGCUGUUAGGUAAAUCCGGCAGCUUAUUUCGGAGCUUGAGUAAAUUCUUUGCUUCGGCAAGGGAAAUUCAAUCCAAGAGCUUUCCAAGAAAACCUUCUACAACUAUCUUAUAGAACACGUACCGCAAACCGACACAGGUGGGCAGGUAUAAAUGUACUAAGGCGAACGAGUGAGUCUUGGCUAAGGAACUCGGCAAAAAAGUGGCCGUAACUUCGGGAUAAGGCCUGCCUCACGCAAGUGAGGCCGCAGCGAAAGACCCCUGGCGACUGUUUAUCAAAAACACAACUCCGUGCUAACUCGAAAGAGGAUGUAUACGGGGUGACGCUUGUCCGGUGCCGGAACGUUAACGGUUGAAGUGGUAGGUAGCAAUACUUACUGCGGAAGCCCGAAGCGCCGGUGAACGACGGCGAUAACUAUAAACUGACGAUUGUAGUUACAAAAUUUGGCUGUAUGCUGGAAACUCCCUUGUAUCCGGAACUACUCAUGGUACAAUAAAUUUAUGUACCAAAGUAAAAAUGUUUCCGGUGGGGACAAUCAGCAGGAAACUGUCAAAUGGCUAGAACAAAUUCCAAAUGAUGUUGGAUAUUAUAUCUCUGGUUUUGUUGAUGGAGAGGGAAGCUUUAACAUCUCCAUACGAAAACACCCAGGCUAUAAAUUAGGAUGGAAGACAUCACUAACAUUCAAUGUUUCUCAGAAGGGAGAUAAAUCCUUAAAAUUAUUACGAAAUAUAUUUAAAUGCGGAUAUGUUCGUAAGAGGUGGGAUAAUCUUCACUAUUUUGAAGUAGUGGAAUUUGAAAAGAUUAUUUUCUAUGUUAUUCCGUUUUUUAAGAGAUUUAAGCUUAGAUCAGAAAAAUUAAAAGACUUUAUUAUUUUUGAAAAAGUAGCUGAUAUUAUAAAAGAUGGAAAACACCUUACCGUUAAAGGUAUUAAGAGAAUUCUUGAGCUUAGACAACCUAUGAACUACGGCGGUAAAAAUAGGAGGCUCAAGAUAGAAGAUAUUCUAGCUAAUUUAAUAGGAUCCUCAGAGACUAUACGCCAAACCCUGAGCAAAUCGCGGAAGCGAUGAGCAAAAGGGAAGAUAUAGUCCGAUCUUAUAGGCGACUAUAAGGCACUCUCAAGAGGAGAGUAAUAAAAAGAUGAAUCGUCCAAAGGUAGCGAAAUUCCUUGGCAGGUAAGUUCUGUCCCGCAUGAAUAGCGGAACGACUGGGGGACUGUCUCAGCCAAGAGCUCGGUGAAAGUGCAAUGUCAGUAAAGAUGCUGACUACCCGCACCAAGACAGAAAGACCCCGGAAGCUUUACUAUAGCUUGGUAUUGGGUUACGAGUUUUACUGCGUAGCGUAGUGGGUAGGCUUUGAAGUGCCGUUUUCGGAUGGCAUGGAGCCGCCAAUGAAACACCCAUCUGUAAGAUUUGUAAUUCUAACUGGUCCAGCCCUUUCUUUUUAGAAGGGCGGCGAAACGUUCAUAGUAAAUGUUUUUAUCUUAAAUAUUUUCCAAUUUUUCGCCAGUCUUUUCUAAUUUGAAAGGGCUGGGUCAAGACAGUGCCUGGUGGGUAGUUUGGCUGGGGCUGCCGCCUCCCAAAAAGUAACGGAGGCGUUCAUUAAGGUCGGCUAGCUGCGGAUGGAAAUCGCAGUGAUAGUGUAAAAGCACAAGCCGGCUUAACUGCAAGGCGGAUAUGCCGCGCAGGUACGAAAGUAGGAUUUAGUGAUCCGACCCUAACUCGUAGGAGUGGGGGAGCUCAACAGAUAAAAGCUACUCCGGGGAUAACAGGCUGGUACUGCCCGAGCGUCCACAGCGACGGCAGUGUUCGGCACCUCGAUGUCGGCUCGCCUUAUCCUGGGGCUGGAGAAGGUCCCAAGGGUUGGGCUGUUCGCCCAUUAAAAAGGUACGCGAGCUGGGUUCAGACCGUUUAUGCGCUAAUAAUAUUUAUUGGCCCAUGAAUGGUCUGAGUCCAAGGUUUGUUAAGACAUCAUUCACGGCGGCCAUAUGCAGUAAUGUAUAUGAGCGAAGCUGACUAAUAUCGGUAAAACCCUUAUGGGGCAAUACCGAGGGAAAUUUUGUUUUGUGAGAGGAGAGGGAGAAUAAACAAAAUACCCGUAGAGACUACACGUCGGCAAUCCUAACCGCAAAUCAGCGGAGGAUUAAUGUAUAGUCCAUACUCAUAGUAAUAUGGGAUGAUUGUUUCUAGAUUCUAAAUUCUAGCUUCUAGAUUCUAAUUUAUGCGUGAGACAGGUUGGUCCUUAUCUGGUGUGGGCGUUGAAACUUGAGAAGGGUUGUCCCUAGUACGAGAGGACCGGGAUGAACGAACCUCUGGUCUACCAGUUGUUCCGCCAGGAGCAGCGCUGGGUAGCUAUGUUCGGUUCUGAUAAGCGCUGAAAGCAUCUAAGCGCGAAGCAGGCUUCAAGAUUAGGUUUCAUAGGUUCGUAGGAGAUUACUACGUUGAUAGGAUUCAGGUGUAAGCGCCGUGAGGCGUUGAGCCGAGAAUUACUAAUAAACCAUCGCAAUUACCCA